GUUGACCUCGGAUCAGGUAGGGAUACCCGCUGAACUUAAGCAUAUCAAUAAGCGGAGGAAUAGGAUCAUUAAAAGAAUUGGAGUGACUAACCGUCCUCCGACUUCCACCCUCUGUUGUUAUAACUACCUUGUUGCUUUGGCGGGACCGUUCGGUCUCGAGCGCACCAGUCCUGGACUGUUAGCGCCGCCGAGUCAACCAAACUCUUGUUGUUAGACAGACGUCUGGAGUAUAACAUUUUAAUUAAAUUUAAAAACUUAUCGACUACGGUAUCUCUGGUUUCUGCAUCAU
rnacentral:rRNA from 1 species